UCCCCUCCUCCAGGCAGUCCCCAGGCUGCCCACCACAGGCAGCCGCCGUAGCUUUUCCUCGGCAGAUCUGACUGCCAAGGCGGCACAGGAGAUCUCGUGGGGAUGUCAAGUCUGCGGCUGAGGCGCAGACUCCCGAGAAUUCCAGCUCAGAGAGUCGGAGGGAGCAGACUCACCUCCAGCCCUUCCCCGCUCUCGGACCGCCCAGGAAUGGGGAGCUCUGCCCACCCCCACAGAAGUGGGAUGCUGUUUGCAGAUUCAGUGAAUACAGCAGAGAGACUCGGGGAGUGGAGCCCAUUGAAAGCCCCAUUGAUCAGCCAAUCGAUGACAGCCGUGGCCAAGCGCCUGCCAGGACCACCCAGGCCCGACCCUGCAGGGGAG